rnacentral:rRNA from 1 species
ACCCGCUGAACUUAAGCAUAUCAGUAAGCGGAGGAAAAGAAACUAACUAGGAUUCCCCGAGUAGCGGCGAGCGAAAAGGGAGAAGCCCAGCGCCGAAGCCCGCGGCCUCUGGUCGCAGUGCAAUGUGGCGUUUCGGUGGCGGCUUGCGACGGCAUCCUUGGCACGCGUACCUCUGAAUGGGUCUGCCCGCAGCGGGUGUCAGGCCUCUACUUGCCAAACGGGUUGCCGACGCCUGCCGUUCAUCGCGGAGUCGGGUUGCUUGAGAGUGCAGCCCAAAGUGGGUGGUAAGCUCCAUCUAAGGCUAAAUACCUAGUGCGAGACCGAUAGCAAACAAGUACCGUGAGGGAAAGUUGCAAAGAACUUUGAAAAGAGAGUUCAAGAGUACGUGAAACCGUUCAGAGGCAAACGGACGGAACUGGGCGAGUUCGUCCCCGUCAUUCAGCCGUCGCGUCCGCGCGGCGGUGCACUUGGCGGUGGGCGGAGCGCGACGACCGCCUGUCGAGUCGUCGGAAGCCCGGCGGCAAGGUGGCGACGCGUUCGCGCGUCGUGUUACAGGCCGGCCGAGGCGUUGGCAGACUUGGCGGGCGAGGAGCGCCUGCGGUGCACUCCCCGCGCGGGAGUGACCCGUCGCGGUGGGCUUGCGGACGCCGGCGGCGAACUGCGUGCAGUUCGUCGUCGCGUCGUUCCGUCUGUCGCGCCGCGCGGCGUCACGAAGCACCCAGGGUCCGAGUCGCGUGGUUCCUGGCACUCCGUCCGACCCGUCUUGAAACACGGACCAAGGAGUUGAGCACGCUCGCGAGUCGAUGGGCUCCGAGAACCCCAAAGGCGCAGCUAAGGCAAAACGGGCGUGAUCCGGCACUGGCGUGUCGGCGCAACGCCGGCCCGCAGCCGACUCGAUGCGAGUGGCUGCGGCGCAAGAGCGAGCGUGCUCAGACCCGAAAGGUGGUGAACUAUGCUUGAGCAGGGCGAAGCCAGAGGAAACUCUGGUGGAGGCUCGCAGCGAUCCUGACGUGCAAAUCGGUCGUCAAACUUGAGCAUAGGGGCGAAAGACUAAUCGAACCGCCUAGUAGCUGGUUCCCUCCGAAGUUUCCCUCAGGAUAGCUGGCACUCGGGAUAAAUGGUUUUAUCCGGUAAAGCGAAUGAUUAGAGGCAUUGGGGACGAAACGUCUUCAACCUAUUCUCAAACUUUAAAUGGGUAAGAGGCGCGACCCUUCCUGAUCGGGGUCGCGUGCUUGAACAGAGAGUGCCCAGUGGGCCGUUUUUGGUAAGCAGAACUGGCGCUGUGGGAUGAACCAAACGUGCGGUUAGGGUGCCUAACGCACGCUCAUGAGACACCACAAAAGGUGUUGGUUGAUAUAGACAGCAGGACGGUGGCCAUGGAAGUCGGAAUCCGCUAAGGAGUGUGUAACAACUCACCUGCCGAAUCAACUAGCCCUGAAAAUGGAUGGCGCUGGAGCGUGCGACCCAUACCGCACCGUCGGGGCAAUGCGUGCGAAAUGCCAGGCCCCGACGAGUAGGAGGGCGUGUCGGUGGCGUUGAAGCGUAGUGCGCGAGCACGCGUGGAGCCGCCUUCAGUGCAGAUCUUGGUGGUAGUAGCAAGUAUACAAAUGAGAACUUUGUAGACCGAAGUGGAGAAGGGUUCCAUGUGAACAGCAGUUGGACAUGGGUCAGUCGGCCCUAAGAGAUCGGAAAAUUCCGUUCUGAACGGGGGAGACGCACGCGCCGUCUGAACGUCGUCUGUGACGAGCGAUCGUUCGGGCAGGUGAGGAAGAGCGGCGCGAGUGAGUGCGUGGCUGCCCCCGAUGCGAUCGAAAGGGAAUCGGGUUAAUAUUCCCGAACCUGGCAGUGGAGAUUGGGCCUUCGGGCCCCAGUGCGGUAACGCAACCGAACUCGGAGACGCCAGCGUCGAUCCCGGGAAGAGUUCUCUUUUCUUUGUUAGGAGCGGACUCCCUGGAAUUGGCUUGUCCAGAGAUAGGGACGUUGCAUCCGUAAAGCGUCGCGCCUCACGCGGCGUCCGGUGCAUCGGCGUUGGCCCUUGAAAAUCCGAGGGAGGCAGUGUGAUUUUCACUCCAGGCCGUACCCGAAUCCGCAGCAGGUCUCCAAGGUGAACAGCCUCUGGUCGAUAGAACAAUGUAGGUAAGGGAAGUCGGCAAAUCCGAUCCGUAACUUCGGGACAAGGAUUGGCUCUGAGGUGCGGGCUGCUUCGGGUCGCGGCAAGAAGCGGACUGCGCGUCGGUAGGACUGAGCGCGCUUCGGCGCGUUCGGACCGCCGCCGGCGUGCGUCCGUGGGAGGCCGUGGCUUUCGCCGGCGCGGGUCCUCGUGGCCGGCGUCGGCUUCGUUCGGCCUAAACGCACAGCACAGAACUGGCACGGACUCUGGGAACACGACUGUCUAAUUAAAACAAAGCAUCGCGAUGGCCGCUGGGCGGUGUUGACGCGAUGUGAUUUCUGCCCAGUGCUUUGAAUGUCAAAGUGAAGAAAUUCAACCAAGCGCAGGUAA